ACGAUAGAAGGAGAAGAAGGUGGAGGUUAUGGACACGAUAGAAGGAGAAGAAGGUGGAGGUUAUGGACACGAUAGAAAGAGAAGAAGGUGGAGGUAAUGGACACGAUAGAAGGAGAAGAAGGUGGAGGUUAUGGACACGAUAGAAGGAGAAGAAGGUGGAGGUUAUGGACACGAUAGAAGGAGAAGAAGGUGGAGGUAAUGGACACGAUAGAAGGAGAAGAAGGUGGAGGUUAUGGACACGAUAGAAGGAGAAGAAGGUGGAGGUUAUGGACACGAUAGAAAGAGAAGAAGGUGGAGGUAAUGGACACGAUAGAAGGAGAAGAAGGUGGAGGUUAUGGACACGAUAGAAAGAGAAGAAGGUGGAGGUAAUGGACACGAUAGAAGGAGAAGAAGGUGGAGGUAAUGGACACUAUAGAAGAAGAUGGAGGUAAUGGACACGAUAGAAAGAGAAGAUGGUGGAGGUAAUGGACACGAUAGAAAGAGAAGAUGGUGGAGGUUAUGGACACGAUAGAAGGAAGAAGGUGGAGGUAAUGGACACGAUAGAAGGAGAAGAAGGUGGAGGUAAUGGACACUAUAGAAGAAGAUGGAGGUAAUGGACACGAUAGAAAGAGAAGAAGGUGGAGGUAAUGGACACGAAAGAAGGAAGAAGGUGGAGGUAAUGGACACGAUAGAAAGAGAAGAAGGUGGAGGUUAUGGACACGAUAGAAGGAAGAAGGUGGAGGUUAUGGACACGAUAGAAGGAGAAGGUGGAGGUAAUGGACACGAUAGAAGGAGAAGAAGGUGGCGGAGGAAGAGCUUGGUGGGCUGAACUAAGACUGCCUAGGCCGCAAUUCGAACCCAGCCGAGCCCACAGAUUCGUAAGUAGGAACGCUAACCACUGAACGACUGUAACGACUGGGCCAAGAAGCGGAAGAGAAAACAGGUUAAGGCAAGACAGACAGGAGCAGCAGUGGGGCGAGUCAAGCACAGGGGUCAAGGGUUCUCCGGCGGGUCAGUCUGUGUCGAUGUCAUCAGCGGCCCCGAGCGGCAAUCUUAUCUGGCAUGACUUCCUUAUCACAGGUGCGCCACGCCGACCUGUCCAUCACCACCACUGCCAAUCACCACCACCACCACCAUCACUAGUAUUCUAACAUAUAUUACCACCAUCACCACUGCCAACACAGAAUACUAUCACCACCACCAUUACUGCUAUCACCACCACCACCGCCAUCACUAGUAUUCUAACAUAUAUUACCACCACCACCAUUGCCAACACAAAUCAUCAUCACCACCAUCACCUAUAACUAACAUACCUCACCAUCACCACCACUAUCAACACA